AAUCUCUGAAAGGGGCCUUGUUUUGGCCUUGAGGGGAAAGACAGCUACAUCCAGGAUUCUCUCCGGGCCUCACCUGGCCUAAUUCAUCUGAUACAAUAGACUUGGUGCUUCUGAGGAUACUGCUGCCUCCACCAUCCAGUUCCCAGGACUAGUUUUUCUCUCCAGUCUCUGGUGAACCCCUUUGAAAUCUUCCUGGACCAGUGGAAACCUGCCCAACCCCACCCAAUUCAUGCAAUGUUGCCUCUCUUCCUGGACUGGGAAAAGACCACAAGCUCUAGGGUCCUUAGUGAAUACUUAAAGUACUUCUUUAGAGCUUGUGGCUUUUGGGGAGGGAGAGAGGUAUGGGUGAGAGAUAUAGGAGGAAACCUGGGGAAAGUAUGAACAAAAGAUAUUCACACGAUAGUCCUUGAAAUACUUGAAGACAGCAAUAAUAAACAGCAUUUAUACAGUG